UACGUAGGGGCCAAGCGUUGUCCGGAUUUAUUGGGCGUAAAGAGCUCGUAGGCGGUUGGGUAAGUCGGGUGUGAAAACUCCAGGCUCAACUUGGAGAUGCCACCCGAUACUGCUCUGACUUGAGUUCGGUAGGGGGAGUGGGGAAUUUCCUGGUGUAGCGGUGAAAAUGCGCAGAUAUCAGGAGGAACACCGGUGGCGAAGGCGCCACUCUGGGCCGAAACUGACGCUGAGGAGCGAAAAGCGUGGGUAGCAAAACAGG
rnacentral:rRNA from 1 species